rnacentral:rRNA from 1 species
UACGUAGGUGACAAGCGUUGUCCGGAUUUACUGGGCGUAAAGAGCGCGCAGGCGGUCGUUCAAGUCGAGUGUGAAAGCCCCCGGCUCAACUGGGGAGGGUCAUUCGAUACUGAUCGACUCGAAGGCAGGAGAGGGUAGUGGAAUUCCCGGUGUAGUGGUGAAAUGCGUAGAUAUCGGGAGGAACACCAGCGGCGAAGGCGACUACCUGGCCUGUUCUUGACGCUGAGGCGCGAAAGCUAGGGGAGCGAACGGGG